rnacentral:rRNA from 1 species
CGCGUAGGCGGCUGUCACAGUCAGGCGUGAAAUUCCUGGGCUCAACCUGGGGGCUGCGUUUGAUACGUGACGGCUGGAGUGCGGAAGAGGGUCGUGGAAUUCCCAGUGUAGAGGUGAAAUUCGUAGAUAUUGGGAAGAACACCGGUGGCGAAGGCGGCGACCUGGUCCGUGACUGACGCUGAGGCGCGAAAGCGUGGGGAGCAAACAGGAUUAGAUACCCUGGUAGUCCACGCCGUAAACGAUGUGCGCUGGAUGUUGGGCGACCUAGUCGCUCAGUGUCGCAGCUAACGCGAUAAGCGCACCGCCUGGGGAGUACGGCCGCAAGGUUGAA